rnacentral:misc_RNA from 1 species
AGUCGUAACAAGGUUUCCGUAGGUGAACCUGCGGAAGGAUCAUUACAGAAUGAAAAGUGCUUAACUGCAUUUUUUCUUACACAUGUGUUUUUCUUUUUUUGAAAACUUUGCUUUGGUAGGCCUUCUAUAUGGGGCCUGCCAGAGAUUAAACUCAACCAAAUUUUAUUUAAUGUCAACCGAUUAUUUAAUAGUCAAAACUUUCAACAACGGAUCUCUUGGUUCUCGCAUCGAUGAAGAACGCAGCGAAAUGCGAUAAGUAAUAUGAAUUGCAGAUAUUCGUGAAUCAUCGAAUCUUUGAACGCACAUUGCGCCCUUUGGUAUUCCAAAGGGCAUGCCUGUUUGAGCGUCAUUUCUCCCUCAAACCCUCGGGUUUGGUGUUGAGCGAUACGCUGGGUUUGCUUGAAAGAAAGGCGGAGUAUAAACUAAUGGAUAGGUUUUUUCCACUCAUUGGUACAAACUCCAAAACUUCUUCCAAAUUCGACCUCAAAUCAGGUAGGACUACCCGCUGAACUUAAGCAUAUC